AUGUGCCGCAACAAUUUGGUGCAGUCCGAGAAUUUAAUCUUGAAGUUGGUUCCUAUCUUGGGUAUGUACUCUGAUAACUACUUUGUGAAACUACCUAGGAGGGUGAGUGGAUAUUCUGGUUUGGAGUGGGUGCAGGAGACACUAGCCCGAGAUACCAAAUGCUGUAACAUGUUUAGGGUUGAGAGACCUUUGUUUAACAGACUACAUAAUACUUUGGUGCAAUCAUAUGGCUUGAAGUCCACUACAAAAAUGACAUUUGUAGAGGCUCUAGCUAUGUUUUUAUGGAUUGUUGGAUCACCACAGUCAGUUAGACAGGCUGAGAACCGUUUCAGGAGGUCUAUGGAGACAGUAAGUAGGACAUUUAACAGAGUUUUGACAUGCCUCCUCAGGUUAGCACAUGCUAUAAUUGUUCCAAGGACCCAACAUUUUCAGAGGUGCACCCAAACUUAG
rnacentral:rRNA from 1 species